GAUGAACGCUGGCGGCGUGCCUAAUACAUGCAAGUCGAACGAAUUCUAAGUAUUUAGUAUUCGGUAUAAAGUAUUCAGCAUUUGCCGAACACCCUCUACUGUAUACUGGAUACUCGAGUUAGUGGCGGACGGUGAGUAACACGUUAGUACCUGCCCUUUAGUGGGGGAUAACUGGCCGAAAGGUCAGCUAAUACCGCAUGUGAUCCGCCUCUGGCGGAUUAAAGACUUCGGCGCUAAAGGA
rnacentral:rRNA from 1 species